GCUCAACGUGAGCUGAAGUGCUAUGGUUUCAUCAGUUUCAUCUACAUUGUGAAAUUUACCAAAGUGACGUUCAAAUGGUUCAUUUUAUUCGUUAAUUCAAAUAAGGUAUGAUCCUGACAAUGGUUUUAACUUCAGGGAGUAACAUUUCUUUGAUUUCUGUGAGUUGUUUACUUGUUUAUUUGUUUAGUUUGGGGGUUAUAAUGUACUGACUUAAGUGAAUGUGUCAUUGCGCGGCAUGCUGCUUGGUUUAUCUUAUAGGUAAAUAUCGGGUUCUUGUUAUCCUUUCUUCAUUAUGGAAGUUACACAUCUUAUCUUGGGUAUGAUACAUAAGCAAAACAGAACAUUGGACAUUCUUUGUAAAAUCUUAGUUUUAAUUUAAUUUUUUUAGUAUUCUAGAUGUACUGUAUGAGAUAUAACAAAAGAAGUGCUGGUAGAUACGUUGGAGUAGUCUGGACGUGCCAAGAUGGUAGUCUAAUACGUCAUUUUGUAAUUUUCCGAAAAGACGUGGUGGAACUGGCUUAUAUACUUACUUAUUUACUUUACAUCAUUUUGUAGCUAAAGAGUUGAUCUUUCAGGUGCGUUUAUUUACCUUGUACUGGCCCUAAACGUGCCCUAAAAUGGCCCUUGAAAUAAAGCCAUUUUGUGAAUUUUGGAAAACACGCCGUGGAAAAUGGUUCAUGACUCGUGAACUUUAAGGGUACGCCCUAUGAUCACCUAGUAGUGGACCUGGAAGUGCUCUAAAAUAGCCCUUGAAACUCAGCAUUUUCGUGAGUUUUGUAAAACACGCCGUGGAAAAUGGCUCAUAACUUGUAAUACGCCGUGGAAAAUGGCUCAUAACUUGGGAGCCCUAAGGGUGCACCCUUUAUACACCUUGUAGUGGGCCUGGAAGUGCCCUAAAAUGGCCCUUGAAACUCAGCAUUUUUGUGAGUUUUGGAAAACACGCCGUGGAAAAUGGCUCAUAACUUCGAAACCCUAAGAGUGCGCUCUAUGAUCACGCUGUAGUGGACCUGCAAGUGCCCUAAAAUGGCCCUUGAAAGUCAGCAUUUUUGUGAGUUUUGGAAAACACGCCUUGGAAAAUCGCUCAUAACUUAGGAACCCUAAGGAUGCACCCUAUGAUCACCUUGUGGUGGACCUGGAAGUGCCCUAAAAUGGCCCUUGAAACUCAGCAUUUUUGUAAGUUUUGGAAAAUACGCUGUGGAAAAUGGCUCAUAACUUCGGAACCCUAAGGGUGCGCUCUAUGAUCACAUUGUAGUGGACCUGCAAGUGCCCUAAAAUGGCCCUUGAAACUCCGCAUUUUUGUGAGUUUUGGAAAACACGCCUUGGAAAAUGGUUCAUAACUUGGGAAUCCUAAGGAUGCACCCUAUGAUCACGUUGUAGUGGACCUGCAAGUGCCCUAAAAUGGCCCUUGAAACUCCGCAUUUUUGUGAGUUUUGGAAAACACGCCUUGGAAAAUGGUUCAUAACUUGGGAAUCCUAAGGAUGCACCCUAUGAUCACGUUGUAGUGGACCUGCAAGUGCCCUAAAAUGGCCCUUGAAACUCCGCAUUUUUGUGAGUUUUGGAAAACACGCCUUGGAAAAUGGUUCAUAACUUGGGAACCCUAAGGAUGUACCCUAUGAUCACCUUGUGGUGGAUCUGCAAGUGCCCUAAAAUAGCCCUUGAAACUCAGCAUUUUUGUGAGUUUUGGAAAACACGCCUUGGAAAAUGGUUCAUAACUUGGGAAUCCUAAGGAUGCAGCCUAUGAUCACUUUGUGGUAGACCUGGAAGUACCCUAAAAUGGCCCUUGAAACUCAGCAUUUUUGGGAGUUUUGGAAAACACGCCGUGGAAAAUUGCUCAUAACUUGGGAACCCUAAGGAUGCGCCCUAUGAUCACCUUGUAGUGGACUUAGAAGUGCCCUAAAAUGGCCCUUAAAACUCAGCAUUUUUGUGAGUUUUGGAAAACACGCCGUGGAAAAUGGCUUAUAACUCGUGAACCUUAAGGGUGCACCCUAUGUACACCUUGUAGUGGACCUGGAAGAGCCUUAAAAUGACCCUUAAACUUAAGCCAUUUUGUGAGUUUUGGGAAACACGCCGUGAAAAAUAGCCACUUUUUAAUGUCUAAAAUUUUUACAAUUAAACUUAUUUGUUUAAGUUGUUCGAAUCCUAAUUUUCAAUACUUUUUCUUUGGUUUUUUGAUUUUAAUUUUAAUUUUGUUGUCGCUGAAA